CCCCUCGUCGAACACCACCACAUCGACGCCCGGUACAAUUGGCGGCGGCGCCUCCCCCACCUUGUCGCUGCUUCCGUCGGAUUUCUAGAUGGAGAUUUUCCUCCUCUCAACGCGGAAUACCAAUAUAUACUAUAUUAAUUGGUAAAUUUUAUUUUUUUAUUUUUCUCGAAUUAAUUGUCGAACUAGCAAUAGAAUAUGUUAUGGAUCUGGAUUUUCGGUUAUAUUAUUUGUUUGUUAUGAAUGCAUACAUUGAUUUUCAAUUAUUCUGGAUUUUAUUGAUAUUUGUGUUAUUCGGCAUAUUCUGAAUGUUUAGAUCUGGAAAACCAUAUGAUAAAUAAUAUUGAAUUGAAUUGAAUUGAAUUGAAUUAGUUUCAUCAGCAAGUGUUACCUCCAAGUCUCCAUCUUUCUUAAUCUUUUUCCCUUGAAUACCAAGUUUAUCUGUUAUCCACAGCAAACAAGAUCAGGAUGAAUUAUAUUGGUCCAACUGUAUUCUAUUAGCUAGUGUUUUGCUCAAUCUUGAAUUUGCUUACCCUGGUUGACCGCAAUAACUUCCUUAUUGCUUAGUAGUGCCAGUGUCGUUUUGUCCAUUGACCGAAUAUCGCACCCGAUUAUCAGAGAAGCCUGAUACCCCACACAUGAAAACAUUUAUAAUGCAUGCAUGUUAGACUAGUCAUGACUCAACCUGGAAAAAAAAAAUUCACUUAUCAACUCUACUACUAUAUCACUUACUUUCACUAAUGCCCAUAUGCUGAAAUGUGACCGGUAUUCUUCCGUUGUCAUCCCACCAUUUCCAACUUCCAGCAUGUCAGGAUCUACCAUAAUCAUCGCAAAAUUGAGUCAUAAGAUUAGAUUAACAAUUUAAUGUUGUUAACAAGGCAAAACACCGGCCAAAUGGCUAAUUCUUUUAUCAAUCCAUUUUUUUUUUCUUUCUUUUAACUCGUUAUUCCAAAUUUAAAAUUCUGAUGAUUGAAGAUGAUCAAAUAGAAUCUGAUAGAAUUACGAGAUUAGUCGGUUGUAGUGCAAUGUAUUUUACAGAGUAGUCACAUUUGACAGAGUAGUCAUGUUUAACAACUUAGUUAUAUUUGUCCUUUUUUUUGUAGUGUUGCAUAUGUUCAGCAGUGUAGUCAUAUUUAACAGAGAAGAUCAAACGGAAGAUUAAGUGCAGUCGGUGCAACCGAGUUGGAUACCGCAACAAAAAAACAUGUAAGAU
rnacentral:lncRNA from 1 species